UACGAAGGGGGCUAGCGUUGCUCGGAAUUACUGGGCGUAAAGCGCACGUAGGCGGCUUUCUAAGUCGGGGGUGAAAUCCUGGAGCUCAAUUCCAGAACUGCCUUCGAUACUGGAGAGCUUGAGUCCGGGAGAGGUGAGUGGAACUGCGAGUGUAGAGGUGAAAUUCGUAGAUAUUCGCAAGAACACCAGUGGCGAAGGCGGCUCACUGGCCCGGUACUGACGCUGAGGUGCGAAAGCGUGGGGAGCAAACAGG
rnacentral:rRNA from 1 species